rnacentral:lncRNA from 1 species
UAAGACCCAAUAUCCAUAUAAUUAAACUGAUAUCAGCCGAGUGGUUCAUAACUAAAGAGUAAAAUUUUAUUUCUUCAUGAUAUCGGUUAGAACAUAAACAAUUUAAUCGAGCCGUUCGGAUUGGGUCUCGUCGAAUUGGGUACUCAUUUGGCAAAUAGGGUUAUACACAGGAGGAAGCUUCGGUGCUUGGAAUACAGACCUAAGUCCAAGUUUUGUCGUUAUAUUACUUUACCCCACGAAUAUUUUUCGACGUGUCCCUUAUUUUAUUGGCACGAUUUUCCUUGUAGUUAAUUUCUCUGAUAACUUCCAUUUCCAUGUGCUUUAGCGCUCCUUCCGCAGUCCCCCAAAGUUCAUGUCCUUCAAUGGCUAUAAUAGAAGACAAUCGAUCACUGCUUUGUUUUCGUCCUUCCCAAACGCUAGUGUUUUUUCCCAUCAAUUUUCCCCUAUUUCACCCACUAAUCAACCUCCUCAGAAAUUCCAAAAUUUUUCAAGCCAUAUCUCAUUU